ensembl:lncRNA
UGUCAGUCUCAGAGUUUCUAUUUUUAUAGAAGUGGUGGGAAAAAAACAGAAUAAUGUCACUUGAGUGAAAGUCUAACAAUAAUUAAGAAAUUUUUUUCCUGACAUUAAUAUUAAUCCCUAUUAUUAAUUACCUUAAUUCCUUUACGAGUGAUUUUUAUAUUUCCCCGCAAUUCCUCUAAUAUCUCAGACGCAAUGAAAUAGAAAUUUAAAUCUGAGUUUAAAGUUUAAUAUGAACUCGCGAAGCUCGUGUAUUCUGUCUUGAAAUGACUCGAAGUAGAAUUAUGAAUGACAGGAAAGUGUUUCUUUAUUUGCGUAUUACAAAACAUAUACAAAAAACAACAACACAGUAGUACAUUUGUUCACUUUAAAGAAAAAACCCCAGACGUAUAGAGCGGGUGUAUAAAUAUAAGAAGUGACGACACGUCAUGAGAAACGGAACAGCGGUGUUUCCACGCGCUCCGUUAGCUGAUUCAGCCAGUCCACGUGUUCAGCGAUGGACUGACGCAGAUCUCCACCGUUCUAAACCAAACACGACAAUAUAAAAACAAAUUUCUUUAAUUCACACGAAUGAGCAACAAGUUUUCAAACAGUUCCACUGUAGCUAAGGUAGCUAACGUGUUUUAUAUAUGGAGUUUGUCCUAUGUGGGCGUGGCCAGAUGAGAUUAGCAAAGCAAGAGGCACCAACGAGCUCUGCUACUUCGUUCCAAGCUUUAUUUUUCUUCGUAGCAUUUCUAAAUACAUUUAAUAAGAUGCCGUGUACGACAGGAGAAGACGACACGACACUUAUUUAAACAUCUGUAUUCCGUUUUUCCAGUUAAAACAGUAAACAUGAACUAAAGUGAAGCGAAGAAACACCGGACCAUAUGCACCGUGUAGGAUUGGUCCGAAGAAUCGUUCGGGACAAUCGCUUGGAUUUGUGGCUUAACUGUGUCGAAACAAACAAACGCUUACCCGUCACUUUCUUGUGUGAACGUGGGGUCACAACAAAAUGGCAGUGAGUCGCUCAGGAGCCGAAAGAGUCGACUCUUAUUGAUGAGCUGAGUCAAAUGAUCUGACUCGAGUCAAAUGAUCUGACUCACUGGAUUCUUUUUAAAGCCUCUCACCCCAGACAGGUUUUCUUUCAGCUCUGCUGCAGCCAGGCGGACGUGUUCCAGUUUGUCGAUCUGCUCCUUCAGGCGAUCCUCCAGCUCCUGCAUCAUCAUCAGACCUUCAUCCAUUCUCCUCACAUGUUUGCCCACCAUCCUGAGACUCCUGAGACGCCUAACUAACACACACACACACACACACACACACACACACACAUACAUACAUACACACAUAGGUGAUGUGUCGUUCACUAAGGAGAGGAGUCGACUCUUUCAACCGACUCGCAUUUAAGCCGUUCUGUUUUUCUUACCAGUCCAUUAACAAAUCCUUUAACUUUUUAAUAAUAUUCCUAUUUGAAGUGCAAAUGGAGUUGUUGUUUUUUUUUUGUUUUGUUUUUUUAAAAAAGAGUAAAUAUUGGUGCUAUAAUAUGAACUAAAACACAAGCAAUCACUAAACAUCUCGAUUCCUGAUUCACACAGGUAAAUGAACAACAAUGAAAGAAUCAUUCGUUUCACUCUACUGGCGUCUCUUUUUCAUAAUAAUCCGCCAAAUCUAGUGUUAUAUUUUCUAUCUUUGCAACAUUUAGAUGUAAAAUGUCAAUAUAACGCGUUAAAUAACUCACUGAACAGUAGUGAAGACACCGCAGAAAGUUAUUCUCUCAGGUUUGUUGAAC